CUCGAGGUGCACUAUCAAAUGCGAGUCGAAUGUAGCAAUACAUGGCGUACUGCUCAGUAACACGUGGAUAACCUACCCUUGAGAUGGGGAUAAUCCCGGGAAACUGGGUAUAAUACCCGAUAGACCUCGAUGCUGGAAUGCAUCGAGUCGAAAGCUCCGGCGCAAGAUGGGUCUGCGGCCUAUCAGGUAGUAGUGGGUGUAGCGUACGUACUAGCCUACGACGGGUACGGGUGUGAGAGCAAGAGCUCGGAGAUGGAUCUGAGACACGAUCCAGGCCUGCGGGUGCACAGGCGCAAACUUUACAAUGCUGGAAACAGCGAUAAGGGGACCUCGAUGCCAGGUACAAAUCUGGCUGUCGUGAUGCCUAAAAAGCAUGCAUAGCAGGCCGGGCAAACCGUGCCAGCCGCCCGGGUACACCGGCGCUCAGUGUACCGUAUAUGGUCUAAGGUCUGUACCGGCCGGAUAGUCUCUGGACCUGCAGCUAACUUCAGCUCAUAAUACUGUCUGCCGAGCGGAAGUAAGUCUCAGGUAGGUACCUGUAUCUAGACCAUGCAGCGUUCCACAGA
rnacentral:rRNA from 1 species